rnacentral:lncRNA from 1 species
UUGUCGUGCAGGGGGAAUAUUUCCCUAGGAAUGCUGAUGUUAGAAUGUUCACUUAGUUCCAAAAUUUCAUGGAGGUAUGUAUGAAUCGCAUUAAGAAAAGAAGUGACGAAAUAUUCAUGGAUAUGUAUGCAUUCUUCGAUGUGUGACUGAAGACGUAAAGUUUCAAAUCUAUAUCUGUUUUUUUUGUUAUGAGUCAUAUGUCUAGAACGCUGUUCAUUUUUCCAGUCUAUGCUCUUUUGUAUUUAUAUUCAUUCCUUUUUGGGCUCGGUUCGUUAGCAUAUUUAUCAAUGAAAAUUAUGACUAUUCCCCAGGUCCUUUUUUAUUUGUGGAGUAAUCUGUUGAAUGUUGCUUAACUUUGAUGCAUUGAUAUUUUUAGAUUGUUUUAGAUAUUUUCUACAGAUGUGUUAAACAGUACAUUUUCUUUCUUUUUUCUUGUGAUCUGCAGAAGUUGUACAAAAAUAUUUAUAUAUAGUAGCCAUUAGACAUAAUUCUCCUAACUUUUUUAAGGCAAAGUUGCAUCGUUCUUUCUCCUUCUCUUAUCUUCUUAGAACAUAUAUAAGAAUAUUUUGGUUUGCAGAGUCACUUUACUACAAGCCAGCAUGGCAUUUUAUUGUAGCUACUUCAAAAAUACUUAUGCAUAGUCCAAUCCUUGAUUGUAUAGGUACUAAAAAUAUUAUUUUAUUUUAAAAUUGUGUUACUUUUAGGUGUUUUUUGGAAUCUCUUUUUUGUUUUGACUUGCAUCAUUACUAUUACUAAGUAAAAUAGUACAAAAGAGGGUUUCCCUUUUUUUUUUCUUUUUGAUAUGUAGAAGCAAUACAAAAAUAUCAUAGCAGUCAUUAGACAUAUUUCUCCUAACUAACUUUUUGAAGCAAGAUUGUUGUUUUAACUCCUUUUUUAUAAUGACUUUGCUUAGCUUAGCUUUUCAUCUUGCAAAUUAAGGACUGAUAAUAGAAAUGAAACCUGUACAUGGAUUAAGAUUGUACUGCUAUAUAGGAAUUAAGAUUGCACUGCUACUAUUAAGAAACGCCUAGUCGUAAGAAAGGGUCGAAGUUCAAAGUUUUGAAGCUACAUGGAAAUAUCAUUAUUCUUUAAACAUUAAAUACUUAUAGGAGUUGUUUGACUUAAAAUCUUCUAUUGUUUUAUGCCUCUUAAUUUAUCAUUAUUCUAACAGAAGUAAUAAAUAAUUGAUAGUGAAUGAUAGUUGAAAUAUAGUAUUCCAUCAAUAGGAUUUAAAAAUAUAACUUCCAGCUAAAAGUUUAUGUUUAUUUUUUUCUUUUGAUUUUCCUUUUUCUCCUAUAAAAGGAAUUGCUUAUUAAGAUAUGAAUUUGAUCAUGCAGGCUGUAACUAUAUAUUCCUGAUUUAUAAUAUUGCAGUUGCAGCAGUAAGUGCUGACUUCUAUUAAAGCAAUUCAUUUGCUUCAUGUUUUUAGUAUUCCAAAUAGACGAGGGUGAUGUAAAUCUUAUAUUCUAGACUGGAUCGCAAAUGUAGUCUUACAGUAUUUGUCCUUUAAUCAUGUUUUUUGCUUUCUACAAAUUGCAGAGUAUUUCUUGCAAACAAGUACUAUUCUUUCAGCGUUAGUCGAUAUCCUUGAUGAAGAUAGGGUCUGAAAGACAAUUGUAAAUGUUGAAUAAUUUACUAGAGAUUUAUCUUCUCCGAUAAAUUAUAUAUAUUCUUUGAUAUCGGAUAGACUCCAUAUGCCACUAACAGCUUUUGUGGUUACAAGAUUCAGAGUAGACUAUAUCUUUCAAUAUAGCAGACUAUUGUAAGCACGUGAUUUUUGCCCUAUAUGAGAAUUACUCCCAAAAAAUUCAAAAAUAAAAU